rnacentral:lncRNA from 1 species
CACUCAUUACCAAACACUCAUCCACUACACCCAUUACAUCCACUCAUUACCAAACAUCCACCCACUACACCCAUUACAUUCACUCAUUACCACAACACUCGCCCACUACACCCAUUACAUCCACUCAUUACAACUCCAUACACUCCUCUCCUUAGCCUAUAAAUACAUCCACCCUUCACCAUAAUUUGGGGGAGAUCUAUCCAAAGACACUACAUUCACAUCUUACAACCUUCAUCCAAACACUUCGAUUCAUCCUCACAUCCAUUCCUCCAUACAAACAAACCUUCAAACACUCACCAACACCUUUGCCGUAGCAAAGGAAGGGAAGGAAAGUGCUUGGAUGUGCUUGCUGUCCAACUUGGAUCGUUGGAGCGUUUAGGUGUUUUCUUUCUUUUGUUUUCAAUGUCUAAAUUUGUUUAUCUUUGCUUUGUAAGUAUGAGAAACUAAACCCCCCUUAGCUAGGGGGAAUUCGAAACCAUGUUCAUGCUUGCAAUAUGAUUUGAUUACUUUCAGUUGUGAUUCAUAAGUUGUGAAUUCAAUUUACUUAUCCAUUUGAAUUAAAACUGAUUUGUGUAUGUUGGUUGAGAGUGCACGCUUAAUAUCCAUGCAUAAAUAUGAUGCUAGGAUAUAAGGGAGUUUCACCUAAUCGUUAUGAACUUAUAUUCACAAGUAGUAAAGGUUGUUCAUCACAACUGUGUUAAGUAAAUUCUUGGCAUAAGUUUCAUGCAAUUCAUAGUUACAAGUGUUUCGUCAAUGCUUAUGAUUUUCAUAGAACUUAAUGAUUCUUGCUUGUAUCUCUAUUAUGCAAUUUAUGUAGGGAACUUGUUGGGAAUGCUUUGGGUUGUUGUAUGCAAUAAUCCAAUUCAAUGAAAUUAGGCAAAUCUGAGGAUUAAUUUAAGCGUACCUAAUUAAUCUGGGGUGUUGAGGUUCAUGGUUUAUUGAAAAGCAACUGGAAAUCGUUUAUAUGCAAGUGUGUCAUGUGUGGAGAAAGACCUUUUAGCUAACCCAUCAUCCAUUCAAAUCACCAAAUUCGUCCAAAAUCUGUUUUAAGUCUUUAGUUACUUGUUUUUACUUAAAUUCAUCCAAAACCAAAUCCCCCUUUACUUUAGAGUGUCUAUUAGUUAGUACUUGUUUUAGAUUGUGUUUUUAAGUGUUUUAAGUCAAGAUAAAAUCAAUUUUCGUCCAAACUUUGUGUUAGUGGCAGAAACUGUCUUAGAGUUGUUUUUAGGCAGUUUUGAGUCUCUAUAAUCUGUUUUGAGUCUUGUGGCUUUGUUUUGAGUCUUGUAAGUUUAAUUUCAUGCUUUUAAGUUUGUUUUCACAUAUUUAAGUCAGUUUCAAGUGUUUUAGCAAUCCCUCCUAAUCCCCAGCCUAGAACGAUCCCUACUUACAUUCUUUACUACAAUUGACAACAAGAGGGUUUAAUUUGUGUGUUAAGGUAAUUUUCGCACCAAAUUUUUGGCGCCAUUGCCGGGGAUUAGCAACUUUGCUAAUCCCCCGUUGUUUCUUUUUCAUGUUUUUUGUUUUAGUUACUGACUUUGUUUCUAUUUGUGUCUUUUAUUUUUACUUAUGAUAUUUGAUUUAGUUUUGUUUCCUUGAUUUCAAGUACUAGAGAAGUAAGACAUGGGUUUUGCUACCAUUCAAGCUCAAUUGGUGAAACUUACUCCUCAAUUGUCACAAUAUGGCGAAAGGACCACAAUGCAAAGUGUCUCUACAUUUGGUGCGUCUUAUAAGCAAGGAUAUCAAGCCAAUCAAUGUCCACAAAGAGAUUGGAGUGAUCAUUCAAACUCUAUGUGGUGGGAAGCUCAACAAGUUCAACACGAAGCAUAUUGGCAGCCAUAUGAGGAGUUCUAUUCAAGACCUAUGCAGCCACUACAACCUCAUAUACAAUAUGCCCAAUCAAACUCAGAUUCGUCAAUAGAUUACAAUCAAAUUCUUAAUAAAUUAAACUCUUUGGUGCAAGGCUCACAACAAGAAGAAUAUUUGCCGCUAUCGGAGGAGUAAUAUCACUGGCUAUAUGAACCAUCACAGCCACCACAACAAUCUGCCCAAUUCAAUUCAGGUACGUCUUUAGAUAAUGAUAUGUUUAAUAAGUUACUCACCUCUUUGAACCAGGAAGUAGAAAAUCAAAACAAAGAGAUGCAAAAUCAAGCCAAGAAGACGGGUGAAUUGGAGAAGCAAACUGGGCAGAUUAUGGAGUUCAUGGCACAAAUUCAAGAGCAAAGUGAACUCCCCAACUCAACUAUUGAAAAUUCGAAGGAAGAUUUUGAAAUCCAUGAUGCUAUCACUUUGGGAAGUGCUAUGGAGGUUGGAGCUAACCUAAAAACAUCCAAACAUAGCCUAGAAGUGGAUGAGGAGCUGCUGAUUGAGGAGGAGGAAUAAGACAUACACACGGAAAGGGUAGAACAACCCUUGCUGCAACCCCCUAAGCCCUCUAAACCACCCACCACAAGUAAGGACGUCCCAAUUUCAUUUCAUUCUAAUGUUAUUCCUCCGAACAUCCCUUUUCCUCCCAGGUUUUUGACUCCCAAGAAAGAAGAGAGUAAAAAAAACAUCGUGGAAGCCUUCAUAAAGGUGCAAAAAGAUAUUCCAAUUCUUGGUGCAACAAAUCAAGUUCCAGAUUGUGUUGAAAUGUUCAAAGGACUUUGUACACCAAGAAGAAUGAUUCAAGAGAAAGUAGUGGCUAGAAAAGAUGUAGAAUGCAUCAAAGAGGAUGUGAUUGAGACAAGCAUUCCUAAAGAAAUUGAAUUUUAUGACACGGGACAAGUCCUAACCAUCACAUUCAAUCUGGUCAAGUCCAAUAUCCCUGAAACUUUCAAAGAAGUGGUGUUUGUCAUUGAGUUCUUGUCGGACAAAGCAAGUAAGUCAUCUUCUCCAAUUUUACAUAUGUUUUCCACUAACUUGCUGAUUUUGAUGAUUCAGGCACCCACACCAGAAUUUACACCAUUGCCCGAUCACUUCAAGUAUCACCUUCCAUUCGAAGAUCACUUCCAUGCCAUGGGACCUAGAGGAGUGUGACUGGAGGUAUCAUCCGGCUGCAAGACGUUAAAGCAAGCACUUAUUGGGAGGCAACCCAUGUAUUCAAAUAAGGAAGAUUUUUGAAUUGCUCCACAAUCAGUUUUGCGUUUCUAAAAACCUUCCAUUUUCUGUAGUUUUAUUUUGCCAUGAUUGUCAUUUUUAUUUGUUGCUUGUUUAAUUGUUUUUAGUGUGGGUUUAUUUUUGAAACACUGAUAGUUAUGCAAGGUAUUUUUACAUUCAUAAAAAGAAAGGAACAUUAAGCAGAUAAAUACAAGAGGGAGCCUUCACAAAGGCUGCUUAGGGGAAGUCUCAGUAGUCGGCGGAGCCUCAGCAGUCGGCGGAGCCCCAGAAGGAGGAGGCAUCAGAGGUUGAUCAUUUGGAGCUUCAGUACGCGGUACAGCCCUACAAGGCGAAGGCAAAUGCUGUUGGAACAAACCCACAAACCUCUGAUGAUCAAGUAAAAUCUGACCAUCAGAUUCCUGCAUCUGGUCAAUCUUCCUCUUCAUGUUUGUAGCAUAGUUAUGUGCGAGCCUGUGCAACUGUUUAUUCUCAUGCUUAAGCCCUCUAAUCUCCUGCUUGAGACUCAUCACUUCAGCCACCAAUGAUUCAACUUGACGGGUUCGGGCAAAUAGGUGUUGGGCCAUAUAAGACACGGAACCUGCACACUGCACACUGAGAGCCAGAGAAUCCUUACCAACCAACUCAUCAGACCAUUUGGCAAGUAGUCUGUUAUCUUUGGGAGUGACAAAGUUUCUGGCCACCACCGCAGCUGUCAUAUCAUUCUUCAUCACUGAAUCCCCAACGGUAAGGGGACCAGUAGGGGAUAUGAAGGAUGGGCGCCAUAUGUUGUCUGGAGAAGGCGGGACUGCCUCUUCACCAAGGUUCAAGUCAAAACGACGGUCGGAGGGGCCAAACAUUUUCAGAGGUGUUAAAGAAAGAAGAGGUCGGACAAGUCAAGAUCGUAGAAGUGCAAGAAGUGAGUUUCUACAGGCAUAAAUUCAAGUGUGCUUUGAACGUCCUGCGUACCUCUAUAAAAAUCAGCACUCGAUGGGAUUUCAGAGAUCGAAGAGGUGAGCUCAAAAAUUGAAGAGGCCAACUCAAAAAUCAAAGAGGCGCUAGCUUUCUCAAAAGCUGGGCUUGCUUAGAAACCACGGCCAAUCUUCUUUUCCAGAUUUGUUCGCACUUGUCACAUGCAACCUCUGCACUCGACAGGAUUUCAGAGAUCGAAGAGGCAAUUCUAGAUAUCGGAGAGGCAUCUGCUUUUCCAGACGUGUCAGCAUCUGUCACAUGCAAAGUAAGCUUUGCGAAAAUCACAGGCAGUUUGUCGAAGCGCCGAUUCCAACCAUCUGCUUUUCGAGACGUGUCAACAUCUGUCACAUGCAGAGUCAGCUUUGCAAAAAUCACGGGCAGUUUGUCGAAACGUUUUUCCAGACGUGUCAACAUUUGUCACAUGCAGAGUCAGCUUUACGGAAAUCACGGGCAGUUUGUCGAAGCGCCGAUUCCAGAUAUCGAAGAGGCACUUGCUUUUCCAGACAUGUCAGCGCCAACCACAUGCACACUCAGCCUUGCGGAAAUUACGGGCAAUCUGUCGAAGAUCUCUUGUGAAGUAGAAAGCACGUGAAGUUUACUAUUAAAUCAUCCAACGGUUGCUGACAAGAGUGAAAGAAUAGUACCGGUUAUUAAUUCCUAUAAAUGUCACCCUUCACCCUCCAUUGCAAGGCAGACAUACAUAACCCUUCUUCUUCUCCGAGAAUGCCUUUCCAACAAACCCUCUCGAGUCACUCAGUGUUCCUUAUUCCUUAGGGUACCUCUGCAAACAACUCAUCCAAAGCAAAAGUAUUUCAUAUCAUGAAGGUUGAAAGCAAGAGUAUCUCAUAUCAUGCUUUCUCCAUGUCCUUCUCCUUGUCGUUGUUUUGGGACAAGGAGAAAGAAAGCAAUCAGCCAGCACUUGGUAUCAAUCUUCCGAUCUGGAACCGACUGCCUGGAACCCCUUCCUGAUUGCUUACCUAGCCUUGCUCUCGAGUACUCAUCUUCAUCAUUUUAUGCUUCCUCUUCGUCUACCACAUUUGCCUGGGGAACAGACAAGGGAAGUGAAAAUGAUACCUCGAAGCAUGUGGAGACAAUUUGCCAAUUCAUCAUCAGCUAGGGACAAGGAGAAAGAAAGCAAAAGGUGGGCACUUGGAAAGAUUGAAGAAAGAAACAGACCAACACCUCUACCUUGUGCUUGCUUGCCGUGCAGAAGAAACAAGCAGAGAAUAAUGCAGACUGCACAAUUAAAUCAACCCAGCAGAAGGAGUCUGAUUUGAAACCAAGGAACUUUCAUAUUCCUCGCUCAGAAUUCCAAACCAGUUUAAGAUCAAAGCUGUGGAAAGACAAUAAGAUCAUCUAUCUCCAAAAUCAGAUUUGCGUUCUUAAACUCUACUCUGUCUGGUUUUUACUUUGCCAUACUUGUCAUGUUUAUUCGUUGUUUGUUUGUCUGCUUGUUUUUUUUGUGUGAGUUUAUGCUUGAAACGUUAAGGACAAUGUUUGAUUUAAGUGUUGGGGGGGGUAACCAAGUUGUUUUGCAUGAAAUUCGUGGAGUUUAUUAUCCAUUACUUCUAAGUGUUGUUCCUUGAUGUUUUUAAGUGUUUUUAAGGUGUUUUGGAGUGUUUUAGUGUGUUUUAACAUAAAAAUCCGAAAAUCUCAUAAAAAUUUGAAAAAUUGUUUUGAAAAACCCAAAAAGAGUUAUUUUUGUGCAUUUGUUUGUGUCUUAGGGUACCUUCCAACACAAUGAUGAGGAUUUGAUUUUUAAUUACAUGACUAUUAAAGAGAGUUAAAAACAUGGAUGAAAAUUUGAUUUACUCUUUGAUGUAUGCUUGGUUAUGGUUAUAAAUUAUGAAUUCACAUGCAAUCAUAAAGGAAAAAUCAGUUUUUGUAACAUGUUUGUAGGAAGGAACUCAAAUGAACGCUACAACCUUGUGAGACUUGAGCCUAAACGUUUAUUUGGAGAGUUAAUAAUCUGUGCACCAUUGUUUUCUAAAAGUCGUUGCAUGAUCUCAUUAUUCUUUGCUUGGUUGCUACUUAGAAGGCGUUUCAUCAUUUAGUUCCAAAUGCUAGAACUCAUGCCUAUUUCAUUCAAAGCAUGCUAUUGAUUUGCAUAACACAUAUUCAAGAUGAAGUUGUGUAGUGACCAACAAAGCCAAAUUGCCGUGCCCCUAUUUCAUUAUGUGUUUAAGUUUAACCCCGUUGAGCCUUGUGUUGCCUAUGUUCUUUGUUACCCACACUAUCCUCACCUAGCCUAGAUUAGGACCAUCCAUACCCUUGUUCUUGAAGCAUAGUAAAGCAUAAUUUAGAAGGAAUUCCUUUUGUUGAACUCUUGCAGAAAAACAAGUGUGGGGGAAGUGAUUCUUGUGUUUGUGUGUGCCAAAGUCCUUCAUAAGGCACGGGUAGAAAAGGAAAAGAAAAAGAAAAAUUUGUGGAAAAUAUAAUGAAAAGAAGAAAAGUUGUGAAAAGAGUUGAAAAAUUUAUGAGAAAGAGCUCUAAAGUUUUGUUUGUUGAAGAAAGGGUCCAAAGCAUUGAAUUCGACCCUAAGUGUUGCAUGAAUCUUCCCUUUGUGUUUAAAAGUUCAUUUUUGCAUUCUAAAGUAAAUUCCAAGUGUCGAUUCCAUUACUUUGCUUGCUGUCGCUUUAAGAACGUUUGUUAUUCCUAUCCUUUCUUUGUUAGCCAUUACCCCCAAGUCCUGUUACAACCCUUGACUUCAAUCUUGAGUGUUGUGUGUUUCAAUAUGUGGAGUUUGAAAUUGAUAUGAGCAUAUGGUGUCACUGGUUCUCGCAUCUAAGUAGUAGCAUUCCAUUUAUGAGAUCAUAUAUAUACAUGAAUUAAUAAUUCCAGAAAUUGCUUCUUUGUUGAAAAACAUGUGUGAGUACUAGUUUUCAUGUUUACAUCAAUCUUCUCACAUAUACCUAGUAUAGGGAGUGUAGUCAGAAAUUCUUAUGUGAAAAUAAGAGUGUAUCUAGUAAGGAAUUGAGGAAAUUCUCUAAGGCAUGUUACUAUAUUCAAAAUGCUGUUUUAAUUGAUUAAAUGUGAGCUAGUGAAUGGUGACUAUGAUUAAGUAUGCUCGAGGGUAAGGAAUGCUUAAAUCUAUGUAAGUGGUGAUCUUUGGCAUGUCAUGUUUCAUUGAAAGUCCCUGAGGCAAAUGUUGGAAGGUUAGGUUGUGUUUUGUUUGUUUUGUUUGUUUUGUUUUGUUUUGUUUCUUUUGUUUUGCUCAAGGACUAGCAAAAGCUAAGUGUGGGGGAUUUGAUAGGAGCAUAUUUAUGCAACUUAGUUAGCUUGUUUCUUGGCCUUUACUUAGUUUAAUUCUAGUUAUUUUAGUACUUUAAGAUAUUUUCGUGUGUUUGUAGGUUCAAAUAACAAAGUUAGCAACAAAGUGCUAUUUGGAGCAUUUUGGAGCAUUUUUUGGCCAAGAUUUGAUAGUGCAAGCAUGGAGACAUGAGGAUGGACGUUUAUGAAGAUUUGAAGGCUAAAAAUCGGCAUGUGUGUGUGCAAGUGUGUUGACCUACAACUCCAAACAUCCAUCCACUACACCCAUUACAUCCACUCAUUACCACAACACUCACCCACUACACCCAUUACAUCCACUCAUUACCAAACACUCAUCCACUACACCCAUUACAUCCACUCAUUACCAAACACUACUCAUUACCAAACACUCAUCCACUACACCAAUUACAUCCACUCAUUACCAAACAUCCACCCACUACACCCAUUACAUCCACUCAUUACCACAACACUCACCCACUACACCCAUUACAUCCAUUCAUUACCAAACACUCAUCCACUACACCCAUUACAUCCACUCAUUACCAAACACUCAUCCACUACACCCAUUACAUCCACUCAUUACCAAACAUCCACCCACUACACCCAUUACAUCCACUCAUUACCACAACACUCACCCAUUACACCCAUUACAUCCACUCAUUACAACUCCAUACACUCCUCUCCCUAGCCUAUAAAUACAUCCACCAUUCACCAUAAUUUGGGGGAGAUCUAUCCAAAGACACUACAUUCACAUCUUACAACCUUCAUCCAAACACUUCCAUUCAUCCUCACAUCCAUUCCUCCAUACAAACAAACCUUCAAACACUCACCAACACCUUGUGCCGUAGCAAAGGAAGGGAAGGAAAGUGCUUGGAUGUGCUUGCUGUCCAACUUGGAUCGUUGGA